GAUAAGUAUCGCACAUCUAUGUUGCCACAUGUCCUCCAUCGAAUAGCCCACAUAAUUCUUUGCAGCUGAACCUACAACCUAUCUAAUUCAGAAAUCAAUAAAAAAAAAUGUGUCUGUCUAAGAAGCAAUAAAAAAAUAUAGCAGUCUCUAGAUUUAUCAUUAAAAAAGAUAUAAGAUGCCACAUGUCAUGCAUCAAUUAGACCGCAUAAAAAAAAAUUACGGCUGAACUAGAAAUGAUAAAAAAAUUAUGGCUAAGCUAGAAAUUAUAAAAAUGAUAAAAAAAUAUGUGGUAGUCUUACAUUAAUGAUUUUAAAAGGAUAAAAAAUACGUGUGCCGGAUCCACUUGCUUGCUGAUAGAGAUCUUUGUUUAAGAGGAUGGGAGGCAGGAUCUCAGGAUGGGACUACUUUGAAUAGAGUAAUCCCAGGUGGUUCCUCCUGACUAUCAUUUAGGAGGAAUGAUCUUCUGAAACUGCUGGAUAAUGGACCGUUUUAGAGUUAUUUGAUGGAUUGGAUAGGGAGUCAGUCUUGCCACUUGAUCUAUUUCGAUCAAUGGAGGGCACUCCUCGAUCAAAGAAGUGUGGACAGACAGUGAGGGAGUGGCGGACUAUAAAUACCACCCUCUGGGUGGUGGGCAAUAGGCAUCCAUAGAAGAUUGAAUUUUUUGAUGAGCUUUUUUGGCUCUAGCUAGAUUUUUGUUUGCCUACAUUUCUUCCUUUUUUUUUCUAAUUCCUCAUUAGGUCGUAUAUGGGUGGUUGCCGCAGGUGUGCUAUGGCCAUCCGUUCCUCUUGAUGCAUCAUCUAAGGAAGGGAGCAUUUUUGAUGCAACUCAAGAAAAAGGUUUGUCUGUGUUUUGCUAUCAUAGUUAUGGGGGGUUGCUGCAUUAUUUGGCAGCCUUCUUCCUCCCGUGCUUCAUCAUGUGGGGUUAGGGUUAUGGCGAUCAACAUGGAUAUGUGGCCACUAGUGAUUGCCAUUUGGAAAGAUUGCUGCAUGGAGUAGCUUCCAUUCCCAAAAAUCACUUCUUAGUCACUCUCCAUGAUGGUGUGAGGGCAAGGAAAAAAGGAAAAGAGGUAUCAAAAUGGGACGGUUACUGUUAAGGUUCAGCAGCCCCCAAGUUCCUUACUUUGCUUUGGGUUUUGGGUGGGGUUUGGAUCUAAUAGCAUUAACUUAGGAUUUUGGAUUUGAUCAGAACGGGUUCGAUUUUGUGGAUCUGGAUAUGAUGAUCCGAGUUGUUGGAUAUUUGGCUAUCGGAUAAUGAGUUAUUGGGAUCUUGGGUUUUAGGGUUUUGGUUUAUGGGUACUGGGCUGUUAGGUGGUUCGGCUAUCGGGUAUUGGGCUGAUGGGUUUCAGGUUUGGAGCUUUUGGAUUGUUUUUUUGGGUUUGGGUCAGCUUGGAUGGCUGGACUAGGGCUAGGUUUAGGUUUCCCUUAGGGUUUGGAUUGGGGUUAGCCUUAGAGUUUG
rnacentral:lncRNA from 1 species